UGAAUACGAGAUGCUACGGCGUCGAAGCAGUCUAUGUCAUACUUCCAAGAAAAGCUUGCACUGUCAUAAACAAAUAAUGCCUGUACCAUAACCGACACAGGUGGGUAGGUAGAGUAUACUAAGGGGCGCGAGAUAACUCUCUCUAAGGAACUCGGCAAAAUGACUCCGUAACUUCGGGAGAAGGAGUGCCUUAUUUAUAAGGUUGCAAUAACAAGAUCCAAGCAACUGUUUACCAAAAACACAGGUCUCCGCUAAGUCGUAAGACGAUGUAUGGGGGCUGACGCCUGCCCAGUGCCAGAAGGUUAAAGAAGUUGGUUAGCAUCCGCGAAGCUGAUAACUGAAGCCCUGGUGAACGGCGGCCGUAACAAUAACGGUCCUAAGGUAGCGAAAUUCCUUGUCGGGUAAGUUCCGACCCGCACGAAAGGCGUAAUGAUUUGGAUACUGUCUCGGAGAGGGGCUCGGUGAAAUAGACUUGUCUGUGAAGAUGCGGACUACCUGCACCAGGACAGAAAGACCCUAUGAAGCUUUACUGUAACCUGAAAUUGAAAUUGGACUUUACUUGCGCAGUAUAGGUGGGAGGCGUUGAGAAUAUUCUUGCGGGAUUAUUGGAGCCAUCAGUGAGAUACCACUCUUGUAAUGUUAGAUUUCUAACUUUGUAUCAUUAUCUGGUCAAAGAACAGUUUCAGGCGGGCAGUUUGACUGGGGCGGUCGCCUCCUAAACGGUAACGGAGGCGCACAAAGGUUUCCUCUGAACGGGUAGAAAUCGUAUCUAGAGUGUAAAGGCAUAAGGAAGCUUGACUGAGAGACCUACAAGUCGAGCAGGGACGAAAGUCGGUCUUAGUGAUCUGACGGUGCUGAGUGGAAAGGCCGUCACUCAACGGAUAAAAGUUACUCUAGGAUAACAGGCUGAUCUCCCCCAAGAGUUCACAUCGACGGGGAGGUUUGGCACCUCGAUGUCGGCUCAUCGCAUCCUGGGGCGGUAGUACGUCCCAAGGGUUGGGCUGUUCGCCCAUGAAAGCGGUACGCGAGCUGGGUUCAGAACGUCGUGAGACAGUUCGGUCCAUAUCCGGUGUAGGCGUUAGAAUAUUGAGAGGAGCCUUCUUUAGUACGAGAGGACCGAGAAGGACAUACCUCUGGUGUACCAGUUAUCGCGCCAACGGUAAACGCUGGGUAGCUAUGUGUGGAGUGGAUAACCGCUGAAAGCAUCUAAGUGGGAAGCCCACCUCAAGAUAAG
rnacentral:rRNA from 1 species